UACGAGGGGGGCAAGCGUUGUUCGGAAUUAUUGGGCGUAAAGGGCGCGUAGGCGGUGCGGUAAGUCACCUGUGAAAACUCUGGGCUCAACUCAGAGCCUGCAGGCGAAACUGCCGUGCUUGAGUGUGGGAGAGGUGCGUGGAAUUCCCGGUGUAGCGGUGAAAUGCGUAGAUAUCUGGAGGAACACCGGUGGCGAAGGCGGCAUCCUGGACCAAUUCUGACGCUGAGGAGCGAAAGCCAGGGGAGCAAACGGG
rnacentral:rRNA from 1 species